rnacentral:pre_miRNA from 14 species
UUCCCCUCCGUUAAUAUAAUUGCUCCGCAUUAGCAGCACGUAAAUAUUGGGUGAUAUGAUAUGGAGCCCCAGUAUUAUUGUACUGCUUAAGUGUGGCAAGGAUCCUGCACCAGUAUUUUA